GACAGAGGAUGCAAGCGUUAUCCGGAAUUACUGGGCGUAAAGCGCGCGCAGGUGGUUCGUUAAGUAGGGCGUGAAAUCUCCCGGCCUAACUGGGAGGGGUCGCCCUAGACGUGGCGGACUUGAGGCUGGCAGAGGUAGGUGGAAUUCCUGGUGUAGUGGUGAAAUGCGUAGAGAUCAGGAGGGAACACCAAUGGGCGGAAGGGCAGAUCUGCUGGGCCGUAACUGACGCUGGAG
rnacentral:rRNA from 1 species